UGAAUACUGAUAGUAGAAGCACCUGCAGUGAAGCCUCAUUUGAAGGAAUCAGCCAAUUUCAAGUGAAUAACACCCUUCUCCAUCCAGAAAUUGUCGAAUGCCGCCUCCUUAAGACUGACAUGGAGCUGGAGGUUCUACGAUACACCAACA